CCUACGGGUGGCUGCAGUGGGGAAUAUUGGACAAUGGGCGAAAGCCUGAUCCAGCCAUGCCGCGUGUGUGAAGAAGGCCUUCGGGUUGUAAAGCACUUUCAGUGGGGAAGAAAGCCUUGGGGCUAAUACCCUCGAGGAAGGACAUCACCCACAGAAGAAGCACCGGCUAACUCCGUGCCAGCAGCCGCGGUAAUACGGAGGGUGCGAGCGUUAAUCGGAAUUACUGGGCGUAAAGCGCGCGUAGGCGGUCUGAUAAGCCGGUUGUGAAAGCCCCGGGCUCAACCUGGGAACGGCAUCCGGAACUGGCAGGCUAGAGUGCAGGAGAGGAAGGUAGAAUUCCCGGUGUAGCGGUGAAAUGCGUAGAGAUCUGGAGGAAUACCAGUGGCGAAGGCGGCCCUCUGGACUGACACUGACGCUGAGGUGCGAAAGCGUGGGUAGCAAACAGGAUUAGAUACCCUUGUAGUC
rnacentral:rRNA from 1 species